AACCGACUUAACCAAAAUGGUAGGCGGGUCGCGGAUCGCGCAGGCACGAGACGUUUACCUUGGAAAAUCCAGCAAGAACCCGGAGAGCCGAUUUUACUGGUUGGUUGCUUCGUUUCGUUUCAGCGUUUUCCCUCUAUCUCUCAUCUCCUUUUGAAUUGUUAUCAAUUUUCUUCUCGAUCUCAACUUCAUAUCUAAACCAUAAACCAAAUUCCACUUUAACAAUAGUUGGUCUCAGAUCGAGCAGCGGGACUCUGCAAUUCCAGCUUCAAAAUAUUACAGCUGUUUAUCUUUUCUUUUUUUUAUCGGAGAAAAGAAAGACAUAAAUAAGAUUAUGAUAACUCGGUCUAAACUCGUUGAGCAACUCAGGGAUUACCAGAUCCGGUCGCAGCAUAAGUGUUCUGCUCUAACUGUCUUCUCUCCUAAACCCCACAUCACUUCUUGGGCUGAUGUUAUUGUGGCAAUUUUCUGGGCUUUAGUGUUUAGCAUGCUUGUUAUAUCGUCCUAUGUGAGCCUCUAUUUCAGGCACUUUUGGCUUUCUUUUCUCAUAAUCUGCCUUGGGAUUUUUCUUCCCCUGCGCUUGAGAAGUUCUAGGCAGGUACUGACCCGGAAGAGGGAGAGAAGAUGGUUAUUACCCUUGUCAAUGUGAAUUUGUAAUGGCAGUAAGUUUUUUCAGGCAUGUCAGCGAUAUCCCCCCCCCCCCUUCCUUUUUUUAACUUGCAUUUGAGUGCUGUGGCAUAUUUUAGAGCAAUUCUAAAGCGUGGAGCGCUGCUUCUGGUCAACCAUGACAGCGCAAGUCCCUGCUCUCUGAGAUAAAUGAUAUGAUUCUUUUUGUCUCUCUACAUAUCAAAUACACAAAAGCCUUGAGAAUUUACCCAACACUCCUUGUCACAUGUAAAAACCAUAUAUUUGGGCAAUGAUGGUCUUGUAAAUUCAGUAUAGUUCAAGAAAAUUUAUUUUGACAUCUUGAAUAUCAAGUUAUAUAAAUAUAUAUUUUGAAGUUUGAAA